rnacentral:tRNA from 1 species
GCUCGCGUAGCUCAGGAGGUUAGAGCGCAUCCUUGGUAAGGAUGAGGCCACCGGUUCAACUCCGGUCGUGAGCUCCA